rnacentral:rRNA from 1 species
CCUACGGGAGACAGCAGUGGGGAAUAUUGGGCAAUGGAGGAAACUCUGACCCAGCAACGCCGCGUGAAUGAUGAAGGUCUUCGGAUUGUAAAGUUCUUUUCUAAGGGAAGAAGAAAGUGACGGUACCUUAGGAAUAAGCCUCGGCUAACUACGUGCCAGCAGCCGCGGUAAUACGGAGGAGGCAAGCGUUAUCCGGAAUGACUGGGCGUAAAGGGUGCGUAGGUGGUUUGACAAGUUGGUAGCGUAACUCCGGGGCUCAACCUCGGCACUACUACCAAAACUGUCGGACUUGAGUGCGGGAGGAGCAAAUGGAAUGCGUAGUGUAGCGGUGAAAUGCAUAGAUAUAAGGAAGAACACCAGUGGCGAAGGCGAUUUGCUGGAGUGUAACUGACACUGAGGCACGAAAGCGUGGGGAGCAAACAGGAUUAGAUACCCUUGUAGUC